rnacentral:rRNA from 1 species
AUUGAACGCUGGCGGCAUGCCUUACACAUGCAAGUCGAACGGCAGCACGGAGCUUGCUCUGGUGGCGAGUGGCGAACGGGUGAGUAAUAUAUCGGAACGUACCCUGGAGUGGGGGAUAACGUAGCGAAAGUUACGCUAAUACCGCAUACGAUCUAAGGAUGAAAGUGGGGGAUCGCAAGACCUCAUGCUCGUGGAGCGGCCGAUAUCUGAUUAGCUAGUUGGUAGGGUAAAAGCCUACCAAGGCAUCGAUCAGUAGCUGGUCUGAGAGGACGACCAGCCACACUGGAACUGAGACACGGUCCAGACUCCUACGGGAGGCAGCAGUGGGGAAUUUUGGACAAUGGGCGAAAGCCUGAUCCAGCAAUGCCGCGUGAGUGAAGAAGGCCUUCGGGUUGUAAAGCUCUUUUGUCAGGGAAGAAACGGUGAAGGCUAAUAUCCUUUGCUAAUGACGGUACCUGAAGAAUAAGCACCGGCUAACUACGUGCCAGCAGCCGCGGUAAUACGUAGGGUGCAAGCGUUAAUCGGAAUUACUGGGCGUAAAGCGUGCGCAGGCGGUUUUGUAAGUCUGAUGUGAAAUCCCCGGGCUCAACCUGGGAAUUGCAUUGGAGACUGCAAGGCUAGAAUCUGGCAGAGGGGGGUAGAAUUCCACGUGUAGCAGUGAAAUGCGUAGAUAUGUGGAGGAAUACCGAUGGCGAAGGCAGCCCCCUGGGUCAAGAUUGACGCUCAUGCACGAAAGCGUGGGGAGCAAACAGGAUUAGAUACCCUGGUAGUCCACGCCCUAAACGAUGUCUACUAGUUGUCGGGUCUUAAUUGACUUGGUAACGCAGCUAACGCGUGAAGUAGACCGCCUGGGGAGUACGGUCGCAAGAUUAAAACUCAAAGGAAUUGACGGGGACCCGCACAAGCGGUGGAUGAUGUGGAUUAAUUCGAUGCAACGCGAAAAACCUUACCUACCCUUGACAUGGCUGGAAUCCCCGAGAGAUUGGGGAGUGCUCGAAAGAGAACCAGUACACAGGUGCUGCAUGGCUGUCGUCAGCUCGUGUCGUGAGAUGUUGGGUUAAGUCCCGCAACGAGCGCAACCCUUGUCAUUAGUUGCUACGAAAGGGCACUCUAAUGAGACUGCCGGUGACAAACCGGAGGAAGGUGGGGAUGACGUCAAGUCCUCAUGGCCCUUAUGGGUAGGGCUUCACACGUCAUACAAUGGUACAUACAGAGCGCCGCCAACCCGCGAGGGGGAGCUAAUCGCAGAAAGUCUACUGGUAGUCCGGAUUGUAGUCUGCAACUCGACUGCAUGAAGUUGGAAUCGCUAGUAAUCGCGGAUCAGCAUGUCGCGGUGAAUACGUUACCGGGUCU